rnacentral:rRNA from 1 species
UACGUAGGGGCCUAGCGUUGUCCGGAUUUAUUGGGCGUAAAGAGCUCGUAGGCGGUUCGGUAAGUCAGGUGUGAAAUCUCCACGCUCAACGUGGAGGGGCCACCUGAUACUGCCGUGACUCGAGUCCGGUAGGGGAGUGUGGAAUUCCUGGUGUAGCGGUGAAAUGCGCAGAUAUCAGGAGGAACACCAGUGGCGAAGGCGGUGCUCUGGGCCGGAACUGACGCUGAGGAGCGAAAGCGUGGGGAGCAAACAGG